rnacentral:ribozyme from 13 species
AAGAAGAAGAAGAAGAAGAAAAAGAAGAAGAAGAAAAAGAAAGCUUUAUCAUGAUCCGUACUAGCUUUUUCUCCAUAUCCUCCCUCUCUGUUUGGUUUCCAUCGUUUUCUUUUGGUGCGAUGCAUGCAUUUUUCAUGUUCUGUUCGAGUGCCUUUUAGGCCUACUACGAAUUUAUAUGAAUAUUGAUUGACCUGCAAACGAAUUCUGUGUUAUCCCUGCUUUCGUAGUGAUCGUAGUAGUUAAUGAAUGAUGAAGCAAAAAAUAUGU